GCAUUUCGGCUGGUGUCGCUGCUCCAGGGAAAGUUCUGUUACUCCACUGACUCUCUCUUUUCCUGAUAACAUGGCCAGCAAGAAAGUAAUUACAGUGUUUGGAGCAACAGGAGCUCAAGGUGGCUCUGUGGCCAGGGCAAUUUUGGAGAGCAAAAAAUUUGCAGUGAGAGCAGUGACCAGGGAUGUGACUUGACCAAAUGCCCUGGAGCUCCAGCGCCUUGGAGCUGAGGUGGUCAAAGGUGACCUGAAUGAUAAAGCAUCGGUGGACAGUGCCUUAAAAGGUGUCUAUGGGGCCUUCUUGGUGACCAACUUCUGGGACCCUCUCAACCAAGAUAAGGAAGUGUGUCGGGGGAAGCUGGUGGCAGACUCCGCCAAGCACCUGGGUCUGAAGCACGUGGUGUACAGCGGCCUGGAGAACGUCAAGCGACUGACGGAUGGCAAGCUGGAGGUGCCGCACUUUGACAGCAAGGGCGAGGUGGAGGAGUACUUCUGGUCCAUUGGCAUCCCCAUGACCAGUGUCCGCGUGGCGGCCUACUUUGAAAACUUUCUCGCGGCGUGGCGGCCCGUGAAAGCCUCUGAUGGAGAUUACUACACCUUGGCUGUACCGAUGGGAGAUGUACCAAUGGAUGGUAUCUCUGUUGCUGAUAUUGGAGCAGCCGUCUCUAGCAUUUUUAAUUCUCCAGAGGAAUUUUUAGGCAAGGCCGUGGGGCUCAGUGCAGAAGCACUAACAAUACAGCAAUAUGCUGAUGUUUUGUCCAAGGUUUUGGGGAAAGAAGUCCGAGAUGCAAAGGUGAGUUCUUAGGGGACAUCCAUGUGAUCACAAGAGGCCACCUUGGUUAACAUUCCACUGACUUACAAAUUUUGGUAGACUCUCUGUGGAUUUAGGCAGGAUUGAACUUAAACUUUCAGAAGAAAUUGAGAAGGAUUGUGGUUCCAUAAAUCUAUCUUCAUCGAUUGGUGCAGUGGAAUCUCUCCCAUAUGGCUUUAUUUCUUUGGCUUAGGGUUAAUUGACUUGUAAAAGUAAAAUUACUUUUGAGUGGAAAGAACGUAGAAUGUGAAGAUUGAGAUACAGCCUUUUUACACACAUGAUCCCAACUCCUCUCAUAAGUCCUUGCUGCUGACCACUUCGGUCGUCCAGAGCUAGCUGAUGUGGAACAAGACACUUAGCUUCAUUGAGCCUCAGCUUCCUCAG
ensembl:lncRNA NMRAL2P NmrA like redox sensor 2, pseudogene